rnacentral:rRNA from 1 species
GAUGAACGCUGGCGGCGUGCCUAAUACAUGCAAGUCGAGCGAACAGACGAGGAGCUUGCUCCUCUGACGUUAGCGGCGGACGGGUGAGUAACACGUGGAUAACCUACCUAUAAGACGGGGAUAACUUCGGGAAACCGGAGCUAAUACCGGAUAAUAUAUUGAACCGCAUGGUUCAAUAGUGAAAGACGGUUUUGCUGUCACUUAUAGAUGGAUCCGCGCCGGAUUAGCUAGUUGGUAAGGUAACGGCUUACCAAGGCAAGGAUGCGUAGCCGAGCUGAGAGGGUGAUCGGCCACCCUGGAACUGAGCCACGGUCCAGACGCCUACGGGAGGCACCAGUAGGGAAUCGUCCGCAAUGGGCGAAAGCCUGACGGAGCAACGCCGCGUGAGUGAUGAAGGUCUUCGGAUCGGAAAACUCUGUUAUUAGGGAAGAACAAAUGUGUAAGUAACUAUGCACGUCUUGACGGUACCUAAUCAGAAAGCCACGGCUAACUACGUG